AACGGUUUCAGAUUAAAAGGGCUCACUAUUUACUAUGGGUCUUUAGCAAUGUGCGGUAUGCUUAUAUGCCUCCCAUGACAUCGUCUGCCCGCAUGCUUAUGCACACAUCAUAGUGUUCGAUGUCAAGCGCGCGAGUAAAGUAAAAUCGACCUCUUUUUCGAACAAAACAUGUAAUCUUCUUUUGGACCCAGGGCCGUAUCUAGAUUUUUCCCCGGGGGAGGGGAGGAAUUUUAAAAUAUGUUAAUACACAUUCUCGUGUACACUUCGCGCCAAACUCAAAUCAGUUUUUAAAAAUCUCAUCUUAUUACUAGGUCUAUCACCGGCUGAUGGACAAAAGAUUGGUAUGUUUUUGUCAAAGAAACGUCUGUUUCGAAUCCUCUUAAGUCAAUCUUACAUCCUAACAAGUAGUAACUAUAGGUGCUUAAUAGGUGCUAUAGGUGCAACUAAUAGGUGCUUAAUGCUAUAUUAAUGCAAUUGACAACACGGUAAUAAUAACUAUAAGGAUCCUCAGAUCAAAUAUUUGAUAAAGAUAUUUAUGAUUUAAAACGACAAAAUAACAUAAGUACUAUUUAUGUGUCGGAAAACAUACCUAAAAUAAAACUAGAUACAUAAGGUAGUUUACGUCGCAUAAUAAUAAUACAUAAUAAAAAAAAAAUUAUUAUAAGACGAUAACACCUAUUUAAACAGUUUUUUACCUAGUUCGAUUUUAAGUGCGUUGUUGAUUAAAUUAUUAUAUCAUUCGCAGCCGCAGGUAAUCACUACUUACCUAACUAUUUAACCAAGUAUUUAACGGAUUCACCCGCUGCAUUUGAUUUAGUAACACUUAUAUUUGCUUUUAAUCAUGUAUAUUAUUUUCGUUGUAUGUAAAACGCAAAUGGUAUUCGUGAAAUUCGUAUUGUACUAAAUUUGCUCGCGUUCAGUCACAGGUCCGAAUCCAAUACCAUUAUGGUGCCAAAAUCGUAUGGCCCCUAAACCUUUUCAUAAUAUGCGUAUAAAACAUCUACGAAUGCUCAUAACACACUGCAAUUAAUAAAAACUAAAAUGAUCCUAUGCGCUCGGUUACAAGCAAAUAUUUUUCAAUAACGUCGAAAACGAAUAAUAUCGUUUAACAAUAUCAAUGUAUGUAUCCACAUGUCUGAACAGUGUUUACAUUUAUGACAUUCAUCUAACUGAUAUUUUAUAGUAUAGUAAUAGUUACGUUUAUCGAAAUUUUAAUAAUGAAUACAUUUCAAUGACAUUACUUUUUUUUUAGAUUCUGAGCGCAGUGAAGAACGUAUAUUAGUUCUAGUAUGAUGUGUACUUAUUUUUAUUUUUUUUGGUCUGUGUACAAUUUGUCUACUAAAAAUUUGCUCUGAUCGAAAAAUGACAAGAUGGCUUUUUUGUAACAUACAUUUUGGAUUUAGUUGGUGUAUUAGAAUGGUAAUUUUUUGAUUUUUUCAAACAGUUUUAAUUAUAAUCGACAAAAACCGGAAAAAACCAUGUAUAGAAAAUACGGACAAAUUUUCAGCAGUAAAAGUGUCACUAUUUUUGAUUUUUUUUUAUACCAGAAAUUUUGUUUCGAAUUUCAAAAAUAGUAUCUUUUUUCAAAGAAAAUUUUUCUUGUUGGCACGUAACAAUUGUUACUUUAAGGUCGUUUUUUCAUUUUCCUUGUCGUUUUCUUAAUAACUGGCAAAAAACGUAGGAAAACCGGGAGAAGGUUUAAGUAAAAACCGUUAUAUGAAAUGACUAAUGAGGGCUUUUUAAACGUGUCUAUAUGCUUUUACAUUUUUUUUUCUAAUCCGUGGAGGACAUAGACGUUUAGAAUGUUAUAAGUUAUUGUAUAUAAACUUACCAGCAUUAUCAAUGUUUUCCACAGAUGUUAGCGGGUAGUAUAACGCUGAAACAUUUAGCCCGAGUCAAUAUAAAAGAAAAAAAAAAUUGUAAUGUCGGUCCUGUCGCUAAUUAUAAAACGCGACCAGGAACGCAUAAUGCUAUGCAUAUUGUAUAUACAAAACUAAAAAGUGAUAUAAUGACAGAUAGACCUGUUGCCACACGAUGAAUGCACCAAACAAGACACCGACUCGUCGUCGUCAUCGCGAACACGUUUAUUAAUUAUAAUAUAUUUACAUUUACCGAUCUUUAGUGC
rnacentral:lncRNA from 1 species